CCUACGGGAGGCUGCAGUGGGGAAUAUUGCACAAUGGGGGAAACCCUGAUGCAGCGACGCCGCGUGAGUGAAGAAGUAUUUCGGUAUGUAAAGCUCUAUCAGCAAGGAAGAUAAUGACCGUAAUUGACUAAGAAGUCACUGCUAAAUACGUGCCAGCAGCCGCGGUCAUACGGAGGGAGCAAGCGUUAUCCGGAUGUACUGGGUGGAAAGGGAGCGGAGACGGCAUGGCAAGUCUGAUGUGAAAGCUCGGGGCUCAACCCGGGAACCGCGUUGGAAACUGGCGUCCUGGAGUGCAGGAGAGGGAGGCGGAAUUCCUAGUGUAGCGGUGAAAUGCGUAGAUAUUAGGAGGAACACCAGUGGCGAAGGCGGCCUACUGGACUGUAGCUGACGUUGAGGCUCGAAAGCGUGGGGAGCAAACAGGAUUAGAUACCCGUGUAGUC
rnacentral:rRNA from 1 species